rnacentral:rRNA from 1 species
CAGCAGCCGCGGUAAUACGUAGGGAGCGAGCGUUGUCCGAAUUUACUGGGCGUAAAGCGCACGUAGGCGGACUAUUAAGUUGGUGGUGAAAUGCCGAGGCUCAACCUCGGAACUGCCUCCAAAACUGUUAGUCUUGAGGUAUGGAGAGGGAACUGGAAUUCCAGGUGUAGCGGUGAAAUGCGUAGAUAUCUGGAGGAACACCCAUGGCGAAGGCAGGUUCCUGGCCAUAUCCUGACGCUGAGGUGCGAAAGCUAGGGGAGCGAACGGGAUUAGAUACCCCGGUAGUCCUAGCCGUAAACGAUGGAUACUAGGUGUUAGUGGUAUCGACCCCACUAGUGCCGCAGCUAACGCAUUAAGUAUCCCGCCUGGGGAGUACGGCCGCAAGGUUGAAACUUAAAGGAAUUGACGG